rfam:Schistosoma curassoni strain Dakar, Senegal genome assembly, scaffold: SCTD_scaffold0017367
AUCCAACUGACGAGUCCCAAAUAGUAUGAAACGCGCGUCCUGGAC